rnacentral:rRNA from 1 species
AUGACUGACACCAUUGAUUUCUCAGUUUGUAACCUGGCCACUCGUCAAUUUGCUCCCCUUCAACAACUACAUGAAUUGGGCUUGCGGUUAUUGGGGAUGUACUCGCAUCAACCUACUGGCGAGUAUCGAUUGUUACUUGAACGCGAUAGCUACAAUGAAACGCCUGAAGACCAACUUGGCUACUAUGUAUUUGCAUUGGGCUCUCACCAGUCGCCGAGGUACAUUGGGUGGCAGGAGUCAACAUCACAAUGCUUCAGUUUACCUGUCUUGGUAUGCGAUAGCCUGCAUUGGUACCCAGUCUAUUAUGUGAGUGAAAGCAGCUAUGUACGGCUUCAGAGUGAAAGCAAAGCGAUAAUAGUAUUCGACACCAUAGCUGAGUCGUUCCGGCCAAUGCGUGCUCCAAUUGUUUCCACCAACUCAUAUGCCUUUGAGAUGGAUGGUACACUCGGCAUAUAUAGCCGUAACUAUGCCAAAACAACUAUUGAUAUAUGGGUAUUGCAGAACUACAAAAGCGAGGUUUGGAACUUCAAGUAUCGAAUCAAAUUGCCAGUUGCAGAAAUAUGGGGGAAGUUUGAGACCUUUGAUGACCUUUGGAAUGUGGAGGUUGUUUCAGUGGACGGUGACGUGCUCUUGCUAGUCAGUUCUGGUCGGUGUCUGUCUUACGUUGACAAUGAUGGUAAGCUGAUUGACAGUUUUGAUCAUGGUCGCAAAUACUUCUUUUUGUCUAAAUAUCGGCUCAAGCAAAGUCUUGUCCAGCAUACCUUCUUUCAGGCUUUAGAAAGUUCUGUUGUGAACACUUCACCAUUCAUCUGA